UCCCAGCAACUUGGGAGGCUGAGGCAGGAGAAUCGCUUGAACUUGGGAGAUAGAGGUUGCAGUGAGCCAAGAUUGUGCCACUGCACUCCAGCCUGGGUGACAGAGUGAGACUCCAUCUCAAAAAAAAAAAAAAAAAUUACAAAAGUAAUACAUAUUCACAAUUAAGAAAAACAAUUAAAUAGAAAAAAGAGCAAAAAUGAUUACCUGGGCAUGGUGGCAGAAGGAAGAAGCUCCCUCGUACAGAGACAAGAGGCAGAGAGGCUCCAAAGCCGAAAGAGUAGACACCAAGUGGAGUGAAAACCAGCUAAGUUUAUAUAGAGGCUGGAGGAGGCGGUGUCUGAUUUGCACAGGGCUCAGGGGAUUGGUUUGACCAGGCAUGUCAUUCACGCAGCCCGGGAAAAAGCUGGUCCACCCACCCUAGCCUUUUAAUAUGCAAAUGCAGAGCACCAUGAUGUUCUACACACGUGGGGAUACGUGGGGGCGGCCAUGUUUGCCAGGCACUUGUGGGGCAAGGGCAAGAAGAAGAGGGUGGGAAUUGUCAUGUUUGGGUAGACCCAGUUUCUAAUGGCCAGCAUGUGCAUAUCAAAGGUUGCUGGCCUGGCUCUAAGAGCCUGGGCUUGACAAGAAACCUUUCUGGAACAGCUUUAAAAAUGAAAACUUCCCAAGGACCCCUUUUCC
rnacentral:lncRNA from 10 species